GACAGAGGUGGCGAGCGUUGUUCGGAAUCACUGGGCUUAAAGGGCGCGUAGGUGGUAGUGCAAGUCUGAGGUGGAAUCUUAGGGCUUAACCCUAAAAUUGCCUUGGAAACUGCAUUACUUGAGUCAGUGAGGGGAGGGUAGAAUUCCUGGUGUAGCGGUGAAAUGCGUAGAUAUCAGGAGGAAGGCCGGUGGCGAAGGCGGCCCUCUGGCGCUGAACUGACACUGAGGCGCGAAAGCGUGGGUAGCAAACAGG
rnacentral:rRNA from 1 species